CCGGAGCGGAAGGAAAGACCUGAGUAAGAAAGUUCCUGACUGGUAGGCAGCUGUGGGGGGGUUGACACGAGGCUGGGAGAUGGGACAAGUCUGCUCAGACUAGGAAUGAAGCCUGAUAAUUUGAACGUGACUUAUAAGAACUUUGCCAAGAAUCAUGAGAGUAAAUGAAGCAGGCUAGCGGGACAGGCCUCAUUCCCAAAGCCAAAUGGAAGCUGGAGCAGCCAGCUCGACCCUUGCUGAAAUGGCGCAAGUAGGCACCAUCUGCCUUUGAAACCCUAUGGUUUGCUUCCAGCUCUUUCUCUUCCUAGCCUGGCAACCAAGGUACCCUCUAGACCCCUUGUCUCUCACCGACCAGCCUUUUAUCCGGUCAAGGCCAGUUGCACAGAAACCCCCCUGCAAGGCAUGAGCCGGCAAGAGCUUGUGCCUCACUCCUUGGUGACCCCGAAGGGCCCAGAAGGGUGGGAGUCACUGGGGCUUUAAGACACGGAUACCUCCAGGGGAUUUCAGCCAGUGGUGGAGGUGCCCUGCCGAGACCUCGGGAUGCUCGCCCGUUAGUGCCCGGCACGCAGGAGCCGCUGGGGGGACGGGGCCUGCCAGCUGGAAUCUCUGCGGCCUUCAACGGCGGUUCCUCAGAUAAGCACUUCCCAGAUCUUCCUAAAACGAUGACAACCAAAUCCUCUCCUGUUUUAGAUGAAAAGACUGAGAAAUAAAUGGCAGGCACGAAAUACCCGCACUGGGCCACAUCGCAGCGAGAGCAGUGUCUUUUCACACCGGCCAAGCCGCCGAGCAACAACAUAGCUCAUGGUUGCUGUUGACCUUAGCCUCACCCUCUCUCCACUCAGUUUCAUCUUAGAAAGCCAAAGUAAUCUGAAGAUGCUCUUCAAAGUGGACCUUUUAAAUAUUUAUUGAAAGCAUUGUCUCAGUCCUCUCAAAAGAUAGGUGAAAUUA